rnacentral:misc_RNA from 1 species
UUUCCGUAGGUGAACCUGCGGAGGGAUCAUUACUGAGUUUUCAAGGUUUUCGAUCCUGGCAGCCAAUUUUUGGAUUCAUGUGCGUGCCCUAACAAUCAUCUUCCAAACACCUGUGCACAUUUUUGAGGGAGUCUGGACUCGGUUGCCGCUCUUGGGUGAUUUUACCACAUUCCCUUAAAUCAUUAUACGCUAUUAACAAUGUUGAACGUGCUCUGUGCCUCAAGGAUACUAAUAUAAUACAACUUUUAACAACGGAUCUCUUGGCUCUC